UCAUGUGAGGGUGAUCUCACUUCAACAUCUGCCACCCACUGAUCACCAGGGUUGAUUCAGCUGAUGUCUGGCUAUGCGGGUGUCCCCUUUCUCCACUGUUCCACGUGUAGCCCUCCUCAAGUUGAAAACUUGGUUGAAGAGUAUGACCUUCCCUGAUAGGAAAGGACCAUUCUUUAAUAAAGGUGUGCAAGUAGCUCUGCAAGCUCUCAAGGUAAAGGUGUCUCCUGCACUGCCAGUCUUAUAGUCAAUCACUGCAAAUAGCAAGAAGCCUAAUU
rnacentral:lncRNA from 1 species